rnacentral:rRNA from 1 species
AUUGAACGCUGGCGGCAGGCCUAACACAUGCAAGUCGAGCGAGCGGCGGACGGGUGAGUAAUGUCUGGGAAACUGCCUGAUGGAGGGGGAUAACUACUGGAAACGGUAGCUAAUACCGCAUACCAUCAGAUGUGCCGAGAUGGGAUUAGCUAGUAGGUGGGGUAACGGCUCACCUAGGCGACGAUCCCUAGCGGGUCUGAGAGGAUGACCAGCCAGACUGCAACUGAGACACGGUCCAGACUCCUACGGGAGGCAGCAGUGGGGAAUAUUGCAGAAGGGGCGCAAGCCUGAUGCAGCCAUGCGGCGUGUGUGAAGAAGGCCUUCGGGUUGUAAAGCACUGUCAGCGGGGGGGCGUUACCCGCAGAAGAAGCACCGGCUAACUCCGUGCCAGCAGCCGCGGUAAUUC